GCGGCCUACCAUGCAAGUCGAGCGGCAGCACGGGGAGCUUGCUCCCUGGUGGCGAGCGGCGGACGGGUGAGUAAUGCAUAGGAAUCUGCCCGGUAGUGGGGGAUAACGUGGGGAAACCCACGCUAAUACCGCAUACGUCCUACGGGAGAAAGCGGAGGAUCUUCGGACUUCGCGCUAUCGGAUGAGCCUAUGUCGGAUUAGCUAGUUGGUAAGGUAACGGCUUACCAAGGCGACGAUCCGUAGCUGGUCUGAGAGGAUGAUCAGCCACACUGGGACUGAGACACGGCCCAGACUCCUACGGGAGGCAGCAGUGGGGAAUAUUGGACAAUGGGCGAAAGCCUGAUCCAGCCAUGCCGCGUGUGUGAAGAAGGCUUUCGGGUUGUAAAGCACUUUCAGCGAGGAAGAAAGCCUCUGGAUUAAUACCCCAGAGGAAGGACAUCACUCGCAGAAGAAGCACCGGCUAACUCCGUGCCAGCAGCCGCGGUAAUACGGAGGGUGCGAGCGUUAAUCGGAAUUACUGGGCGUAAAGCGCGCGUAGGUGGCUUGGCACGCCGGUUGUGAAAGCCCCGGGCUCAACCUGGGAACGGCAUCCGGAACGGCCAGGCUAGAGUGCAGGAGAGGAAGGUAGAAUUCCCGGUGUAGCGGUGAAAUGCGUAGAGAUCGGGAGGAAUACCAGUGGCGAAGGCGGCCUUCUGGCCUGACACUGACACUGAGGUGCGAAAGCGUGGGUAGCAACAGGAUUAGAUACCCUGGUAGUCCACGCCGUACACGAUGUCGACUAGCCUUUGGGACCUUUAAGGACUUAGUGGCGCAGUUAACGCGAUAAGUCGACCGCCUGGGGAGUACGGCCGCAAGGUUAAAACUCAGAUGAAUUGACGGGGGCCCGCACAAGCGGUGCGAGCAUGUGGUUUAAUUCGAUGCAACGCGAAGAACCUUACCUACCCUUGACAUCCAGAGAAUUUGGCAGAGAUGCCUUCGUGCCUUCGGGAACUCUGAGACAGGUGCUGCAUGGCUGUCGUCACUUCGUGUGUGAAAUGUUGGGUAAUCC
rnacentral:rRNA from 1 species